UCAUCAAGAGCAGCGGAGGGAACUGGCCCGGUGAUGCUGCGGCAACCUGCUUUGCAAUUUAUUUGUAGAGAAAGGUGCUAAGUCCAACGGGAAACCGGCAGAUGA
rnacentral:ncRNA from 1 species